AAUAAACGUUGGCGGUGCGCCUUAUGCAUGCAAGUCGAACGGGGUUAUGGUUUUCGGAUUGUAACCUAGUGGCAGACGGCUGAGUAACACGUAAGUAACCCGCCUUGGAGUGGGAAAUAACCUGCCGAAAGGCGAGCUAAUGUCCCAUGUGGUAACGGAGUAUAAGCUUCGUUACUAAAGCUUUCGGGUGCUCCAAGAGGGGCUUGCGUCUGAUUAGCUAGUUGGUAGGGUAAUGGCUUACCAAGGCGAUGAUCAGUAGCUGGUCUGAGAGGAUGGCCAGCCAGAUGGGGACUGAGACACGGCCCAACUCCUACGGGAGGCAGCAGCAAGGAAUUUUGGGCAAUGAGCGAAAGCUUGACCCAGCGACACCGCGUGAGGGAGUAAGGCCUUCGGGUUGUAAACCUCUUUUCCUGGGGAAGAAUUCUGACGGUACCCAGGGAAUAAGCCUCGGCCAACUACGUG
rnacentral:rRNA from 1 species